GAUGAACGCUAGCUACAGGCUUAACACAUGCGAGUCGAGGGGAAACGGCAUCGAAAGCUUGCUUUUGAUGGGCGUCGACCGGCGCACGGGUGAGUAACGCGUAUCCAACCUGCCCAUCACUUGGGAAUAACCUUGCGAAAGUAAGACUAAUGCCCAAUGACAUCCCACGAAGGCAUCCGAAUGGGAUUAAAGAUUUAUCGGUGAUGGAUGGGGAUGCGUCUGAUUAGCUUGUUGGCGGGGUGACGGCCCACCAAGGCAACGAUCAGUAGGGGUUCUGAGAGGAAGGUCCCCCACAUUGGAACUGAGACACGGUCCACACUCCUACGGGAGGCAGCAGUGAGGAAUAUUGGUCAAUGGGCGAGAGCCUGAACCAGCCAAGUAGCGUGCAGGAUGACGGCCCUAUGGGUUGUAAACUGCUUUUAUAAGGGAAUAAAGUGGGUCACGUGUGACUUUUUGCAUGUACCUUAUGAAUAAGGACCGGCUAAUUCCGUG
rnacentral:rRNA from 1 species